rnacentral:tRNA from 1 species
UUUUAUUUAAUUUAGUAAAAAAUAUUUAUUUGUCAAAUAAAAAAUCUUAUUUUAUAAGAGUAACUA